rnacentral:sRNA from 1 species
GCCGGGUGCGGUGACGCCCACCUGUAAUCUCAGUGCCCCUGGAGGCUGAGGCAGGAGGAUUGUGAGUUCAAAGCCAGCCUCAGCAACUUAGCUGAGCCCCUAAGCAACUCAGCAAGACCCUGCCUCUA